UGUCUGUAAGAGGAUAAGCAACAACAAAUGUAGGUAUUAAUAAAGCACUUCAAAAUCUUCUAAAAUACUUUUUACAACAGAGGAGGAAGAGGAGGAAGAGGAGGAGGAGUGCCAAGAUGGAGUUGGCUUCCAAACAGCGCCCCCUGUCAGUCAUCUAGUGUUUAUAUAAAUCAUUGGCUCAGAAACCAGCUAGCUAUUACAUUGAAAUGUAUGAAUUGUUUUACAUUGGUUGUUAUUCCAUUGAAAUCCACAAAGUGCUUUGCAUUGGUUUUUCAGGUAGCCAAGGAAGGCACUGAACCUCAAGUUUCCCCACAAACCCCAGUGCUUGAGAUGUCCUCCUCUAACUCGUACCAUUCCUCAAUAACUUCAUUCCCAGUGUGCUGCACUGACUGCUGACAGGGGUGACAUGCUGUGACUAAGUGACAUCAUGAGUUGUCUUCCGGAGAGAACGAAGAGGCCAACAAGUGACCUGGCAGAGGAUGCUGAAACACUUCUAAUGGUUGGAAGCAACAGGUGCAGGGACAAGCUACACUGCUCACAGUGUAAAUGUAUGUACUGGACCGGUGCUGGACCCAGCCCAUCUGUCUUGUUCAUCUUGUAUUUUCCAUUGUGUUGGUGAUAGGUGGGGUGAAAUAAAAGAUUGUUUGCA